GGAGGGGGCGCGAGCUGCGCGGCCGCCUGCCCGGCGUGGGGAGCUGGCGCCCCGGGCCGCCGCCGAGAGGGGGAGCCGGAAGUCGGCGCGGGCGCCCCUCGGCCCCGACGACGCCGUGACCUUGGCCAGCCCGCUCACCUCUCGGAAUCUCGCCUGCCCGGACCGCGAAAUGGGGGCGACCGCGGCGUCCCUCUCCGUCGGCGCAGCCCUCGACGGCGCUUGGGUUUGACCCCGGCGCGCUUGCUCGCCCCUUCUCCCGAGAAGGGGUUUCGGAGAUCUAUCCAUACUAAUGGAAAUGUAACUGGAACUGACUCUGAUGAUAAAAUCAAGGACCAUCAAGCAAGAUCAUGCAGUAGGCAACUUUGCUUCCAAAAGAAGUUACCAACAUUUAGAAUUUCUACUUAUUCUGAGUUGUUUAUAUAAUUGGCCUUAAAUGAGGUGAGAGUGAAGAGACUAGAGCCAUCUCUGGAAAACACCAUUAUCCCAUUCCCCGGGAAGCUA
rnacentral:sRNA from 1 species